rnacentral:rRNA from 1 species
UGAAUAAGAGGUCCUGCCUGCCCUGUGACCAUGAGUUUAACGGCCGCGGUAUUUUGACCGUGCAAAGGUAGCGCAAUCACUUGUCUUUUAAAUAAAGACCCGUAUGAAUGGCAAGACGAGGGCUUAGCUGUCUCCUUUUUCAGGUCAAUGAAAUUGAUCUUUCCGUGCAGAAGCGGGAAUAUUUCCAUAAGACGAGAAGACCCUAUGGAGCUUUAGACACCAAGACAGAUCACGUCAAAACCCCCUAAUAAAGGCUUAAACUAACUGAACCCUGUCCUAAUGUCUUUGGUUGGGGCGACCACGGGGAACUACAAAACCCCCGCGUGGAAUGAAAGCACCACCCUGCUUUUACAACUAAGAGCCUCCGCUCUAAUAAACAGAAUAUCUGACCAACAAGAUCCGGCAACGCCGAUCAACGAACCGAGUUACCCUAGGGAUAACAGCGCAAUCCUCU